rnacentral:misc_RNA from 1 species
AACCUAGCACACCUGCGGUGUGUACCUGCGGAAGGAUCAUUACCUAGAGUUGUAGGCUUUGCCUGCUAUCUCUUACCCAUGUCUUUUGAGUACCUUACGUUUCCUCGGUGGGCUCGCCCACCGAUUGGACAAAUUUGAACCCUUUGCAGUUGAAAUCAGCGUCUGAAAAAACUUAAUAGUUACAACUUUCAACAACGGAUCU